rnacentral:lncRNA from 1 species
CUCCUAAAUAAAGCAUUUCCCCUGUGUGGGCGACCCCUGGGUCCCAUGUGGGGUCAGUGUUUGGGUCUCUCUGAGAGGAUCAGGAAGGCUGCUCUUCCAGGAAGGGCUGCAGGGACCCUGGGAACCGGACCAGUCCAGCUCACAAGUAUGAAGAGAAUGUCGGGAGAGGAAGUGGUGGCUAUGAGUCAGCAUGAGUCAUCUCGUUCCAAUGAGAAUGAAGGCUGAGGUGUGCGCCUUUUUUUUUUUUCCUUCUUAGUCGUGUGUACAUCAUUGGGAAUGGAGGGAAAUAAAUGACUGGAUGGUCGCUGCUUUUUAAGUUUCAAAUUGACAUUCCAGACAAGCGGUGCCUGAGCCCGUGCCUGUCUUCAGAUCUUCACAGCACAGUUCCUGGGAAGGUGGAGCCACCAGCCUCUCCCUGACAAGCAAAGUGGAUCAGCAAAGGCUGCAGUCACCAGCAUCUUUUCCAACCUUAAUGAACUGUAUCCUCAAAAGAACACUAUCAGACUGGCUCUGCCGACUUCCAGUUCUGGAACAAGAUGGUUAAACUCAUUUUUCCCUGCUCUGCUCCUCUAAAUACAACUAAGUACCUUGGAAACUAUUCAGCAGACAAUGAUAAAGGGCUCUGAAAGCUAGAAGAAAAGGUGUACUUGCAAGAAACCUCAGGACUUGAGUAACAGCAACAUGGCAGGCCAGAAAGCAGACCCAGGGAGGAUAGCACAUGUCUUCGGCUACACUGGUGAAGGCAUCGUGCCUGCUCCACAGCACAUUUUUAUUCAAGUCUUGGACGAGCCUGAGGAUGUCUACAAGUGGAAGAAAAGAAGCCACUGGAGCAGAAGGUGGGGAGGAUAAAAUUUGGAGCAAGAUUCUCAAGGAAGCAACAAGAUCCUAAGGAAAGGAGAAAGAGACUACCUACUGCAUUUCUGUCACUCGCUGAAAAGGACACUCUGUCAGAAAAUCUUCUAGCAAACUUCAAAGGGCAAAAUCACCCCUUGUUACUGAUAAAGCCCAGAGAGCUUCAGCAGCUAACAUUCCCUGGACAGGGCACAGCAAGGAUUUGAACCUAGGUCAGUCUGGCCAGAACACCCACAAGCUUUCCUUAACUCAGUGUGCUAUCUCCCCACGACUAGGUCACUACUGCUUUAUAAUCACCUUUGUAGCCACCAGUGGAUUUUGCUCAUCAGUAUUUUUCAGGCAAUUGAUACUUUAGAUAUUCAGCUGCAAGACGUAUGCAGUUUUCAUUGACAUCUUUUGGAGAAACUGACAAACCUGGACUUGACUUAAUGCCUUUGGAACCUUCCAAGAUGUUAUAUAACUCUAGAUAGAAGGCUGGGCCUCCAUGAUGUCAGGAAUGUUGCAUUCUUAUUUCCCCAUAGAUAAACCCAUUUGUCCACAAAGUCAAGGAGUCAGGCAGAGGCCCUUGCCAUGGGGCUUUUUAGGAUAAAGCAACAAGCCUGGACUUUGCUCUACAACAGGGUUUUGCAUAGGGAGUGGUAUGACCAGAUCCCUCAAGAAAGAAAGCUUAGAGACCAGGCCAGAGUCCACUGCAGUAGCCCAGUCAAGAGAGGAUGGUGACUUGGACUUGUAGUAGAGCCAGUUAGAAUGAAAGAAAUUGACACAUUCAGAAAUGGUUUUAGAGAUAGAGUCAAACUGGACCUGAUAAAGAACUAGAGAAGCGGAGUGAGGAUAAAGAGAAGAGCCAUGACUGACUCGGAAGAUUUUGUCUUGAAAAACUUGAGAACUCAAGACAGAGUGAAAUAAAAUCACAUGUGGGAAAAAUCUCCUGCUUUGUUUUGGACUACUUUGAAGUGAAAUGCCUGUUAAGCCUAAGUGGGGUAGGUCAUGGCGUACAUGACUGUGGGCUCAGGAUGGAUACAGGCAUUCAGGAGUUGUGAGCAAAUAGAACUUAAAGCCAUGAGAGAAGAAGGGAUCACCAAGAGAGACAGUGUGGCAUAGAGAAGAAAAGGGGUGGAAGACGAUCCCUGGGCAGAAAAGUCCUUAGAGCAGAGGCAACAGGCAUGACCAAGAAGACUAAGAAAGAACAUUCAGUACAGCAGGAGGAGAGCAAAAAAUGUGUGGUAUUCUAGAAGCAAAGAGAAUAAAGGGCUUCAGGAAGGAGCAGUCAAGUGUGUCAAAUAAGAUAAAGACAGACAAGUCCCCUGGAUUGGGUAGGAAUAAAAUAACAACAGACUGCCAUACAAAUGGUUCUAUCUACACCAUCUAAAAGAAUAUAGUUUAUUCUCCAUACAUUUAAGAAACACCUGCCAUAUGCCAGGUAUCCUUUCAAGCACUGAAAUGCAGAUUCAUAAAACAUGGUCUCUGCUCUCAAGGAGCUCACAGUGGUAAGGAGGAAACAGGCAAUAGCGAGUGUUCUCAUUGCAUUCGUGACCCCAUUGAUCUUGCAACAGCCCCAUGCAUCAGUUAUUGCCAUUAUACCAUUUUACCGAUAAGGAAACUGUGGCAGGGAGGGGUCAAGCACCUUGGGUAUUUGACAGCAAAACCAAGGCUUGGUGGUAUCAUAAAACUUCCAAGUAGUAAUUCACAAAGGUGACUGGGAAAUGGAAGUGACCAGAAAUCUUUGCACUAUGAGGACAAGUUCAUGACCCUGAUACAUUCUUGUCCAGGUAGUAUAGCUCCAGACCAAAUGUCUGCGGCCACCCACCCAAAAACUUGUUGGAUAAAAAUGACUACACCUAUAGUCAAAUGAUUUUUGACAAAGGUGCCAAACAGUUAGAUAGGAAAAAGAAAGUUAUUUUCAAUAAAUGUUGCUGGAGCAACCAGAUAUCCAUAUGGAAAAAAAAUCUUGACCACCUACCUCACACCAAACACUAAUAUUAACUUGAGAUGGAUCAUAAACCUAAGUCUGAAAACUAAUAGUAAAGUUCUUGAGAAGAGAACAUGGGAGAAUGUCUUCAUGAUGUUCAGGUAGGCAAAGAUAUUUUAAGACACAAAAAAGCAAUAAGCAUAAAAUUUGUAAAGAGGUGACUGGGGCUUUAUCAAAAUUAAAAUUUAUGUGUAUUAAAAGACAUCAUGAAUAAAGGGAAAAGGGCAGCCACAGACUGGGAGAAACUCUUUACUAUACAUAUACCUAACUGAGG